rnacentral:miRNA from 1 species
AUAAACCCCAUCUUCGUCAUUCCCGCGCACGCGGGAAUCCCGCUUUUCCUUGAAGUAUCAUAAGAAGAAAGAAGCGGGAUUCCCGCGUGCGCGGGAAUGACGUGAAAGUGA